rnacentral:lncRNA from 1 species
UGCACUGUAUAAUCCUGACCCUCACAUAAUCCAAGAUUAUUUUGUAUGGUGGAAUCCGACAUUGUUUUUACCGGAAGUGUUGCCGUGGAGUUCCACGUGCUUUCCAUUCUUGUGUCUCUCGGAGCUUUCGUCAUCUUUCGUAAAAAGCGCGGGAAAUUGUAUCAUCAAUGACAAUGAUAUUACCGGAGAGUAACGAAUGUUAUGGAAUAAGGGACCCUCAUAGAAACCAAGAUGGCGGUUAUACAAUGUAAAUAAUCUUGAAAA